UUAUUGGAGAGUUUGAUCCUGGCUCAGGACGAACGCUGGCGGCGUGCCUAAUACAUGCAAGUCGAGCGAAUCGAUGGGAGCUUGCUCCCUGAGAUUAGCGGCGGACGGGUGAGUAACACGUGGGUAACCUGCCUGUAAGAUUGGGAUAACUCCGGGAAACCGGAGCUAAUACCGGAUAACAUUUUGAACCGCAUGGUUCGAAAUUGAAAGAUGGCUUCUAGCUAUCACUUACAGAUGGACCCGCGGCGCAUUAGCUAGUUGGUGAGGUAACGGCUCACCAAGGCAACGAUGCGUAGCCGACCUGAGAGGGUGAUCGGCCACACUGGGACUGAGACACGGCCCAGACU
rnacentral:ncRNA from 1 species